rnacentral:sRNA from 1 species
GCUGGAGCGGCGGCGGGCAGGCGGGCGGAGGACACUCCUGCGACCAGGUACUGGCUGUGAUCGAACUUCUCAACCCUCAGAGACUUAGAUCUUCCACCUCACUCCCUCAGCCAGGCCUCCAGGCCCCCUCGUGCAUCCGUGGUGGCCUCUCCGCCUUUUCUGUUCUGUUCUGCCCAUGGCCCAGACAUGAGUGGCCCCCUAGAAGGGGCUGAUGGGGGAGGGGACCCCAGGCCUGGGGAAUCAUUUUGUCCUGGGGGCGUCCCAUCCCCUGGGCCCCCACAGCACCGGCCUUGCCCAGGCCCCAGCCUGGCCGAUGACACCGAUGCCAACAGCAAUGGUUCAAGCGGCAAUGAGUCCAAUGGGCAUGAGUCUAGAGGUGCAUCUCAGCGGAGCUCACACAGCUCCUCCUCAGGCAACGGCAAGGACUCAGCCCUGCUGGAGACCACUGAGAGCAGCAAGAGCACAAACUCUCAGAGCCCAUCCCCACCCAGCAGUUCCAUUGCCUACAGCCUUCUGAGUGCCAGCUCAGAGCAGGACAACCCGUCCACCAGUGGCUGCAGCAGUGAACAGUCAGCCCGGGCGAGGACCCAGAAGGAACUCAUGACAGCACUUCGAGAGCUCAAGCUUCGACUGCCGCCAGAGCACCGGGGCAAGGGCCGCUCUGGGACCCUGGCCACGCUGCAGUACGCACUGGCCUGUGUCAAGCAGGUGCAGGCCAACCAGGAAUACUACCAGCAGUGGAGCCUGGAGGAGAGCGAGCCUUGCUCCAUGGACAUGUCCACCUAUACCCUGGAGGAGCUGGAGCACAUCACGUCUGAGUACACGCUUCGGAACCAGGAUACCUUCUCAGUGGCUGUCUCCUUCCUGACGGGCCGAAUCGUCUACAUUUCGGAGCAGGCAGCUGUCCUGCUGCGUUGCAAGCGGGACGUGUUCCGGGGUACCCGCUUCUCUGAGCUCCUGGCUCCCCAGGAUGUGGGAGUCUUCUAUGGUUCCACUGCUCCAUCUCGCUUGCCCACCUGGGGCACAGGGGCCUCAGCAGGUGAGGUGCCCAAGCGCUGUGGGGAGGCAUGAGCAGUCCCAGGAAAUUCCUGCUGUGAGGGGCCAGGGGACCCAGACUUUCCCUUAGUGGGUUCUUCGCAGCCUAGGGAAGGGGCAGGAGGCUGUGCUCACUCCUCUCCUGUCUGUCCCAGGUUCAGGCCUCAGGGACUUUACCCAAGAGAAGUCCAUCUUCUGCCGUAUCAGGUAGGUGAGGGGAACUGGAG